rnacentral:rRNA from 1 species
AACGAACGCUGGCGGCGUGUUUAAGACAUGCAAGUCGCACGGGAUAAGACAUGUAGUAAUACUUGUUUUAUUUAGUGGCGCACGGGUGAGUAACACGUGAAUUACAUGCCCUAUAGUGGGGAAUAGCUCAGGGAAACUUGGAUUAAUACCCCAUGGUAUCGAAAUAUUAAAGGUGGCCGCAAGGCUGUCGCUAUAGGAUUGGUUCGGGCCCUAUCGGCUUGUUGGUGAGGUAACGGCUCACCAAGGCAAUGACGGGUACCUGGUCUGAGAGGACGAUCAGGCACACUGGAACUGAGACACGGUCCAGACACCUACGGGUGGCAGCAGUCGAGAAUAAUUCACAAUGGGGGCAACCCUGAUGGUGCAACGCCGCGUGGAGGAUGACGGUCUUCGGAUUGUAAACUCCUGUCAUCGGGGAGAAAGACCUGACGGUAAAUAGCCGGCAGGGUUGAUAGUACCAGAAGAGGAAGGGACGGCUAACUUCGUGCCAGCAGCCGCCGUAA